CUUUUCCUCUGGACAGGGUCUGAUAAAUCUCCCAUAUAAAGUUUACAUUACCUUUUGUAAUGGUGUAAAAUUGUUAGAUUUUAUUUAUUUAUAAUUAUUUUAUCAUUUUAUUUUUCGGGUGUUUGAUAUUGCAAAUUACUAUUAUAGGGGACUCCAAGGUACCAUCAACUGGACACUGUGCAGCCCCUCUAUUACCACUACUGUGUGUGCUGGAUGCGCCAUCAAGUUCAAUUAAGGAGGAAUUUUUUUCAUGCAAUGACUUUCACCAAUAUCAGAAAAUAGAACUCUAAAGGUACCAAUUACCGGCUGCUUUAAAUGGAAUUCUGAGAAAAAUUUCUGUUCUGAAAGCUGAAGAGAGAAUUGGAGAAAUGUAGCUGUAGAUCUACUUUGGUCAAUCACCGUUCUUAAGAAGCAAGUGAUAUAUAAAGUGACACACCUAAUGACACAUAUGUACAAAACACCAGAAAGAUAACCUACGAC